rnacentral:misc_RNA from 1 species
GGUGUGGGAGGUAAUGCAAAAUCAGCCAUUAUCAAUGUGUGGAAGUUCACACCUAGAAUCAAAAAAGAAUAUCACAUACCAUUUGUGAUGCUAGCUAGGACAGUUCAUAAGUCGGUUAGGGAGCAAAUUUGCUUCCAAGCUGACCCAAUCCAUCAUUAUAUAAAUUAAGAUGGUCCUGCAAUACAAACUGACUGAACCCAACUUAACAAUUUGUUGGUUGGUCGAUCGGUUCUCACUGAUUACUGAAUUCAUGACUUGUGUGUUUUGGUACCAAUUAAAAUGAUUUUUUUUUAAAGCACCAAUUAAAAUGAUUUUUUAUUCUAAUAAAAAGUCACAUUAAUUAACUAAACAAAUUCUUUUUUUGACAAUUUUAACUUUUCUACGAAACAAGUGGUUACUUAGUCUUUGAACCAGUUUUGUGUAUUCUACUAAAAUACAAUGACAAAUCAAGAUUUUGAUUUGUUGCCUUACAGAAAUAUAAAAUAGACACAGUAAGUUAGGAUGUGUCAAAAUAUACAAGUGGGAAAAAUAUGAUCACCAUUAACCAAUCCAAGACUAACUGAUGAUUGUCAUAUUCAUAAAAUUCUAAAAAAACUUACUUCUAAAGCUCAUCAAUCAAGCAAGCACUACUAAUUUCCUGUUAUAAAUUAAAGGGUCUAAAGCUUGAAUGAAUUUUAUUAUUAUGAUGCUUUUUAUCUAUCAAAGCAAUUCUUGGGUAACAUUAUUCAGUAGAUUUCUCGAUGCUUGAACCUUGAAUGAUAAUUGUUUCGCGCAAACGCAAGGAAAAAGAAGACAGACAAGGCAUUGCAUGAAUGGAGAAAGACUUACCAUGGCCACAAAAGAGAAACAAGGGUCUUUACUGCUCAGAACUUCAGCAAAUAAUGUGCCAAAACUUCAGCAAAUGAUCAAAUGACCCGUAAAUAGCAAGAUGAUUCAUUGUUUCAGUUUAGCAAUUUGUUUCCAUUUUAAAAACAGGCAUGAAAAGUAGUCAGCAAUUUGUUUUCAUUGAUUAAUACCAUUUAUUGAUAGAAAAAAAUGCAGAUGCCCCAAAAUGAAGUAAAACCAGCCAUUUGCUUUGUUUUUUAUAAUGUCCAUAAAAAGAAAGGAGAAAAACAGACAUUUUGUCCAUGUUACAUUCUGG